UACGUAGGGGGCAAGCGUUGUCCGGAAUCAUUGGGCGUAAAGCGCGUGUAGGCGGCUCGAUAAGUCUGCUGUGAAAGUCCAGGGCUCAACCCUGGGAUGCCGGUGGAUACUGUCGAGCUCGAGUCCGGAAGAGGCGAGUGGAAUUCCUGGUGUAGCGGUGAAAUGCGCAGAUAUCAGGAGGAACACCAAUGGCGAAGGCAGCUCGCUGGGACGUGACUGACGCUGAGACGCGAAAGCGUGGGAGCAAACAGG
rnacentral:rRNA from 1 species